CGAGUCUUAACCGGGCGUUAAGUUGCAGGGUAUAGACCCGAAACCCGGUGAUCUAGCCAUGGGCAGGUUGAAGGUUGGGUAACACUAACUGGAGGACCGAACCGACUAAUGUUGAAAAAUUAGCGGAUGACCUGUGGCUGGGGGUGAAAGGCCAAUCAAACCGGGAGAUAGCUGGUUCUCCCCGAAAGCUAUUUAGGUAGCGCCUCGUGAACUCAUCUCCGGGGGUAGAGCACUGUUUCGGCUAGGGGGCCAUCCCGGCUUACCAACCCGAUGCAAACUGCGAAUACCGGAGAAUGUUAUCACGGGAGACACACGGCGGGUGCUAACGUCCGUCGUGAAGAGGGAAACAACCCAGACCGCCAGCUAAGGUCCCAAAGUCAUGGUUAAGUGGGAAACGAUGUGGGAAGGCCCAGACAGCCAGGAUGUUGGCUUAGAAGCAGCCAUCAUUUAAAGAAAGCGUAAUAGCUCACUGGUCGAGUCGGCCUGCGCGGAAGAUGUAACGGGGCUAAACCAUG
rnacentral:rRNA from 1 species